UCCGGUUUGGCACCGGCAGUCUCUCUAGAGUUCCCGGCAUUACCCGCUGGCAACUAGAGACGAGGGUUGCGCUCGUUGCGGGACUUAACCCAACAUCUCACGACACGAGCUGACGACAGCCAUGCAGCACCUGUUCACGGACUCCGAAGAGAGGUCUACGUUUCUGUAGACUGUCCCGUGUAUGUCAAGCCUAGGUAAGGUUCUUCGCGUUGCGUCGAAUUAAACCACAUGCUCCACCGCUUGUGCGGGCCCCCGUCAAUUCCUUUGAGUUUCAGCCUUGCGGCCGUACUCCCCAGGCGGGGCACUUAAUGAGUUAUCGCCGGCCCCCAGAGGGUCGCUCCCCCAAGGACCUAGUGCCCAUCGUUUACGGCGUGGACUAC
rnacentral:misc_RNA from 1 species